UACGAAGGGGGCUAGCGUUGCUCGGAAUCACUGGGCGUAAAGGGUGCGUAGGCGGGUUAUUAAGUCAGAGGUGAAAUCCUGGAGCUCAACUCCAGAACUGCCUUUGAUACUGAUAGUCUUGAGUAUGGGAGAGGUGAGUGGAACUGCGAGUGUAGAGGUGAAAUUCGUAGAUAUUCGCAAGAACACCAGUGGCGAAGGCGGCUCACUGGCCCGGUACUGACGCUGAGGUGCGAAAGCGUGGGGAGCAAACGGG
rnacentral:rRNA from 1 species